rnacentral:pre_miRNA from 1 species
UAAUUUCUUCAAUAGUGAGCAGGAAGCGAAAAGGAGCUUUCAUAGUAUCAACCUCCUGACGCUGAUACUGUGAAAGCUCCUUUGUCCCUUCCUGCUCACUAUUUCACAUU